rnacentral:lncRNA from 1 species
AAAAAUAGAAAAAAAAUCAUGCUAAGUCAAGAACCUAAAAAACAACUUGGGAAAAAAAUAGGACAUCCCAGUGGAAUAAAAAAUCAAAAGAGUGGUCCAGGAAAAAGUUAGGGAUAAAAAAAGCAAAGAAUUGGAAAAGGGUCACUAAAAUUCUUGACAAAAACAAAAAUUUUGUCACUACCAAACAAAAGUGGGUGAC